rnacentral:piRNA from 1 species
UGACAUCAAAGCCUAAAUGAUGAGAAU